rnacentral:rRNA from 1 species
AACCGUGAUACUGCUCCCACGCUGGAAUGCCGGGAGCACGAAACGCUCCGGCGCCAUAGGAUGUGGCUGCGGCCGAUUAGGUAGACGGUGGGGUAACGGCCCACCGUGCCGAUAAUCGGUACGGGUAGUGAGAGCUAGAGCCCGGAGACGGACUCUGAGACAAGAGUCCGGGCCCUACGGGGCGCAGCAGGCGCGAAACCUUUACACUGCACGACAGUGCGAUAGGGGGAUUCCGAGUGCGAGGGCAUACAGUCCUCGCUUUUCUGUACCGUAAGGUGGUACAGGAAUAAGGGCUGGGCAAGACCGGUGCCAGCCGCCGCGGUAAUACCGGCAGCUCAAGUGAUGACCGAUUUUAUUGGGCCUAAAGCGUCCGUAGCCGGCCAGGUUGGUCCGUCGGGAAAUCCACUCGCCUAACGAGUGGGCGUCCGGCGGAUACCGCCUGGCUUGGGACCGGGAGACCAGAGGGGUACGUCUGGGGUAGGAGUGAAAUCCUGUAAUCCUAGACGGACCAUCGGUGGCGAAAGCGCCUCUGGAGAACGGAUCCGACGGUGAGGGACGAAAGCUAGGGUCUCGAACCGGAUUAGAUACCCGGGUAGUCCUAGCCGUAAACGAUGCUCACUAGGUGUGGCGCAGGCUACGAGCCUGCGCUGUGCCGUAGG